AUGAUGGACUACAGGACAGGACUGCUGCUGGUUUUUAUUGUCUGUGGAGGUGUUGAUGGUCAGACUCUGAUAGAAUCUGAACCAGCAGUUAAAAGACCUGGAGAAUCCCACAGACUGACCUGUACAGGCUCUGGAUUCACAUUCAGCAGCUACUGGAUGAACUGGGUCAGACAGGCUCCUGGAAAAGGACUGCAGUGGGUUGCUGCUGAUACUAGUGGUAGCCAAUAUUACUGUCAGUCAGUACAAGGCUGGUUCACCAUCUCCAGAGACAACAGCAAACAGCAGGUGUAUCUGCAGAUGAACAGUCUGAAAACUGAAGAUUCUGCUGUUUAUUAUUGUGCUUGA